rnacentral:miRNA from 1 species
AUUGGGCUGGCGCAAAAGUAAUUGCAGUUUUUGCCAUGACUUUCAACGCAAAAAUCACAAUUGCUUUUGCACCAACCUAUAGUU